CCUACGGGAGGCAGCAGUGAGGAAUAUUGGUCAAUGGACGAGAGUCUGAACCAGCCAAGUAGCGUGAAGGAUGACUGCCCUAUGGGUUGUAAACUUCUUUUAUAUGGGAAUAAAAUGUUCCACGUGUGGGAUUUUGUAUGUACCAUAUGAAUAAGGAUCGGCUAACUCCGUUCCAGCAGCCGCGGUAAUACGGAGGAUCCGAGCGUUAUCCGGGUUUAUUGGGUUUAAAGGGAGCGUAGGUGGAUUGUUAAGUCAGUUGUGAAAGUUUGCGGCUCAACCGUAAAAUUGCAGUUGAAACUGGCAGUCUAGAGUACAGUAGAGGUGGGCGGAAUUCGUGGUGUAGCGGUGAAAUGCUUAGAUAUCACGAAGAACUCCGAUUGCGAAGGCAGCUCACUGGACUGCAACUGACACUGAGGCUCGAAAGUGUGGGUAUCAAACAGGAUUAGAUACCCCUGUAGUC
rnacentral:rRNA from 1 species